GUGUUCGCUUUGGCAGCACAUAUACUAGAAAUGGAAUGAUACAGGGAUGAUCGUGGCCCCUGCACAAAGAUGACAUGCACAUUCUUGAAGCAUCCCAACAUAAAACUUAUUU
rfam:Pan troglodytes isolate Yerkes chimp pedigree #C0471 (Clint) chromosome 19, whole genome shotgun sequence.